GCACAGAGUCAGACACGACUGAAGUGACUUAGCAGCAGCAGUAGCCUCAGAAAGAAGUCGGAUAUGGGAGUGGGAGCAUUUGGGUGUCACUCACUGACUUGGACUUGGCCCAGACAUUUACAGAUUUUGAGCCCCGGUUUCUCUGUUAUGAGAUAGAACCGUGUCCUUGCAGAGUCGCUGUGAAGAUGCAGGGGAGAUGCACAGGAGCAUGGCCGCCGCAUACGGCUGGGCAGGCUGUGUCCUGCAUGGGGGGCCGGGGGCGAGUCAGAGCUGGACCUGGCCAGCAUGCUGCUCUCCACCUCAUCCACACUGGACUAUGUCCAAAGCCCCUUUGGGCUGAGGGGCCCCGUACAUCAAGGGUCUCAUCUCAUUCCCAGCAUGUCGUCAAUGUAUAACAAGCAUUUGCGUCUUCUCUUGAAGAAAUUGUCCAUUUCCUCAGGUGGAGAGUCAUCUUUCAGAGUGUAAGGAACAUUCGCUUCCUCUCCCCUGGCAUCAUGAUCCACGGAACCGAAUGUAUUUCCUUCUUUUGCUGUCAUGGCCAGGAAGGUCAAGACUGUUAAUUCUCAAGCCUGCAUGAUUGUAUUCCCCUUUUCCCUUGUUCUAAUUUAUUAUGCUUUAUUUAUGUUGUACCAGUCGAUUAAGCACAUUCUUUGUGAUAAGCCAUCCCACUUUCUUUGGGGAAACCAUUCAGAAGUAAAUACAGUGUGUUUUUAGAGUUUGGCUCACGCACUUUGUGGCAUUUCUGGGUCUUUAAGUCCAGCAGACAGUCAGAGGCGAAGGGAGCAACCCUGGGAGCUGCAUGGGGUUGAGCCUGAGCCCCAGGGAUGUGUCUUCAGGGAUAUUUAAUCUCUGAGUGCAUGGGGAAGGCGCUCCAUGGUCUGGGAGAAUGCCCACCCCUGCCUCACUUAUUGAUGGCUUUAUUUUAUACAGCGAGCAAGAACUAUAGGGAUAACCUCAGCUCUAUGGGGGAGUCCCGGGAGUUUAGCGAAAUGCUUUCUGAGAGCUGAAUGAGUUCUCUGACUCUUGGGUCCCUCUGGUCCAGCCUGAUGCGGAUACCCUCAUGGGGCCUUUCAGUGUCUGACUGUUAUCAGACCUGCUCACCCUCCAGUGUAUUGGAUGGGCCAGGUGUUUGCCCAGGCUCCAGAGUGUGGUCCAUGAUGGCACACUGGGGUCCAUUGUUGGCACUCUGUUUAAAUACGGGUUGAGAUUUCAUUUUGAGUGGGGGGUCCUUAUCAAGUUGUGGGUAUUUGCCAUGUGUG
rnacentral:lncRNA from 1 species